rnacentral:rRNA from 1 species
UACGUAGGGUGCAAGCGUUAAUCGGAAUUACUGGGCGUAAAGCGUGCGCAGGCGGUUUUGUAAGACUGUCGUGAAAUCCCCGGGCUUAACCUGGGAAUUGCAUUUGUGACUGGCGGGCUAGAGUAUGGCAGAGGGGGGUAGAAUUCCACGUGUAGCAGUGAAAUGCGUAGAGAUGUGGAGGAAUACCGAUGGCGAAGGCGGCUCACUGGCCCGUUACCGACGCUCAGGCGCGACAGCGUGGGGAGCAAACAGG